GCUAGAGCCCCUGAAAUUAUUCUUGGAUUGCCAUUUUGUGAAGCUAUUGAUAUGUGGUCCUUGGGCUGCGUGAUAGCUGAGCUGUUCCUGGGAUGGCCUCUUUAUCCUGGUGCUUCGGAAUACGAUCAGGGCAUUGACUGUUUCAUUCCAUCAGUGUAUCAUCAGCUGCUACAUGUGUCUUAAACAUAGUAGGUACACAAGGGGACUCAUGGACCUCUGCUUCAGAAACCUUGCUCUGAGCAAUUACAGCCGCCAAAGUGCCAUUCCUAGCCCAACUGUUUACUGGCAUCCCCUCAGCCUUAGUAAACAGAUUGCCAUUGUGAAAUUUCCUAGGAAGUGGAACCAAAUACAAUUAAAUUUAGAAGCUAAGGUACAGCUGGGGCUUUCCUUGAAAAAAAAAAAAUGAUCUGGUAGUUUGGAGAAUUUUUGUUGGGUGCAUAAAUGUGAAACUGUGGGUGGAAGGAGGAAAGCCGCAGUUGGUUGAACCAAGCUGAAUCAGU